CGUAGGGUGCGAGCGUUAAUCGGAAUUACUGGGCGUAAAGCGUGCGCAGGCGGUUAUAUAAGACAGUUGUGAAAUCCCCGGGCUCAACCUGGGAACUGCAUCUGUGACUGUAUAGCUAGAGUACGGUAGAGGGGGAUGGAAUUCCGCGUGUAGCAGUGAAAUGCGUAGAUAUGCGGAGGAACACCGAUGGCGAAGGCAAUCCCCUGGACCUGUACUGACGCUCAUGCACGAAAGCGUGGGGAGCAAACAGGAUUAGAUACCCUGGUAGUCCACGCCCUAAACGAUGUCAACUGGUUGUUGGGAAUUCACUUUCUCAGUAACGAAGCUAACGCGUGAAGUUGACCGCCUGGGGAGUACGGCCGCAAGGUUG
rnacentral:rRNA from 1 species